rnacentral:rRNA from 1 species
AGAGUUNGAUCAUGGCUCAAGAUGAACGCUGGCGGCGUGCUUAAUACAUGCAAGUCGAACGGAGACAGUAGCAAUAUUGUCUUAGUGGCGAACGGGCGAGUAACGCGUUGGUGACCUGCCUCGAAGAGAGGGAUAACAGUUCGAAAGGAUUGCUAAUACCUCAUGUGGUUGCUUGGGUUAGAGACCUUGCAACUAAACGGAUUUAUUCGCUUCGAGAGGGGCCUGCGUCCCAUCAGCUAGUUGGUAGGGUAAUGGCCUACCAAGGCGAUGACGGGUAGGGGACCUGAGAGGGUGGCCCCCCACAAUGGAACUGAAACACGGUCCAUACACCUACGGGUGGCAGCAGUAGGGAAUAUUGGUUAAUCUGGGAAACCGGGAACCAGCAACGCCGCGUGCGCGAUGAAAGGCCUUCGGGUUGUAAAGCGCUUUUAGAGAGGAUGAGGAAGGACAGUACUCUCUGAAUAAGCCUCGGCUAACUACGUGCCAGCA